AUGAGCACUGUUGCGAAAUACGUACCCGGCAGAUGUGGGGUAGUGGGCCUAGGUGACGGGGAACGGAAGGCGGAGUAGAUGCGCGGUUGGACGGCCGUUCCCCGCCGGAGAGGUGUUCCAUGGAUCAGAACCGGAGCCGCCGUCUGAUCCAUGGAUCUAAAAAAUCGCUAUACGGUGGGGACGCACCAGCCUCGAAUUGAAUGCACCAGCGAGUUCUCGACCAGAGAACGAGUGGGGUUUGUGAAGCGGAGGAGUGCGAUUAGGGGGCAAGGAGUGGCGGCGGCGGCGAUCCACCAUGGAAUUCCUGAUGCAGCCCAUCGGCAGAUCUGCUGUGCUGGAGGAGGUUGGAGAGAGUUUGAUGCCUGCCCCGGUAGUUGUGAAUGGCGGCCUACUGGCGUACCAGACGGAGCCCGAGCCGGCGGCCCUGGAGCCGGCGGUGUCGGUGCAGGAAAGGAUGGUGAAAACGGAGAGGCGCAGAUCUUGUCGGGCAAGAGGUAGCACUCCCCUCCGACGUCUGAACUGUCAACUGGGAAGAUGAAUCCCGAAGCACCCGGGUGGAAUAAGAGGCUUAGGACUGGAGCUGCAGCACCAAGCAGGGGCGCCAUGCCCUACUCGGAUCAGUGCGUUCGAGAAGGCUAUGAGGUGUUUCGCAGAGAACCCGACAGAGAAUGUGAUCACACCUGUACUGUACUUGGCACCUCAUUCGACUUUGUGGGUGAGGCCUAUGACUUCUACAACCUGUAUUCAUGGGAAAAAGGUUUUGGCAUACGGUAUAGGAAGAUCCGGCUAAAUGUGGAGUGGACGAAAUGCAUGCAAGAUAUAUUCUGUGGUUGUGAGGGUAAAGCAGGUGUAGAGAACACAAGGCUCGUGCAGAUGUGAAUGCCCUGCACUGAUAAGACUUCUACUGGGAAGAAGACAAUGGGUGGUGUAUCGUAGAGCAUAGAGAGAAUCAUAACCAUUCACUUUCCCCUAAUUUCGGUGAGACAAUCCAUUGGCCAUCACAUAAGCAUAUUGACAUGUACAGCUGAGAUCUCAUAAAGCAACUCAGGCAAAACAAUGUCAAUGAGUUUCCGGCACGUCUGGGCUGGGGACUUCUCUCCCCCUGAAUUUGCUGCGCACUUCCAUGGACGCCGAGAAGAGGUUGGGAGAGAGUGGAGGCCCUGGGAAGAAGAUGAUGCCAUUUCCCAUCAGCAGGACGGUACGCCUAUCGGCAGUCUAGAGCAAUCGUCGGCUGCAGCGAUGAGCGCGGCCGCACAUAUCCGUGAGGAACAAGCAGGCGUGAAAUGGAGGAUGGCAAAGCUUGUCCACGGUAUUGGAGCUGUCGACCGGCAUGGUGAAUCCGCAAGCCCCGGGGUGGACAUAAAGAUUAGUGCGGGAUGUAGAUUUGUGGCAACUAGUUAUGGAAUGGUGGACCUCAGCAUCUCGAAAAGGGGAAAAUGACGUGAUGAUUUUGUUGUUGUGUACAGUAUAACUAGAAACUAGUGUCCUUAGCAAUCACCACCAUUCAACUGUUCCCAAUCCACAUAUGAUUAACGGUGUUUUGGUUAUUCAUCGCAGGCUUGAAAUGUACAUAUAGUUCAAGCAUUUAUUUCUAGAGCGAUUGAACUAUAUAUUGCUUUUCAGUUUAUUCGUGUGGAGUGCUAGAUUAAUUACUUCCAAGUAUAUUUAUAGAUAACAAUAGAAAACAGAAAUCUGGGUUUUGUAACUUUUUUUCUGUUGGACCUGCAUAGUGGAUGCAUGCCGUUGAUCAUCCACUGAGGCAUCAAGAUGAGCAACAUCCUGAUGGACAAGCAGCUGCGAUCAAAGGUUUCAGACUUCGGGCUGUCGAAGCAUGGUCACAGAGGAGUCCCACACCAAAACCAAUAUCUGUGGCAUGCUGGGCUAGAUCCGCAGUCACUACUCAACAGCCUUGUACUUUUGUUGCUUUCAUCUUGGGUCCUACGCACUUCUAGCUGAUUGUUCGGUGAUCUAUACCUUUGUUCUCAUGUUACAACUACAGGCCAUUAGUUAGGCAUAAAAGUGAUUUCUUUGCAGCAUGCAGGUUAUGUGCAGUGUGUCCAUGCCGUUAAAGAAUCUCAUAUUGCUUUCAAACUUCUACCAUAGAUAUUUAUUUUCUUUGGCCUAGCUGGUUCUGAUCAUAUCAAACCACUUAAGAAAGGCGCUACAGAAUUUUGUCGAUGGAGCUCACUCAAAAUAUUGGUUUAUCAUGUAAUGUAACAUCAAUACUUUUUAGUCCAACUAGGAUUUCUUUCAUUAUUGGAUCUUAAGUGUUUGCUAGGAUAAGUUAAUCGUUCUUAAGGUAGCUUCAGUCAUGGACCUUGAAUAAGUGUGUCAUUUCUAAUUUUAUCAAUUUAUUUCCUGCACAGCUGAUUUCUGGUAUGCCAUGGCGAUAUAUUUUAGUGUUGCUCAUGCUGUUGAUUUGGUGUGGUAUGUCUUAUCUAUCCAUGUGCUGCUUUGAAUGAUUAUUAUUUAUUAUAUUAUCUAUAUAGGUUAGACAAAUUUGUUAAAUCUUACGAUUUACAUAUUUCUCCUGAUGCAACCAAUCACUAUACUAUUAUUUCUUUGUGGAUGGAGGACAUGCAAUGCUUUUUUCCAUUGGUUUUAACUUCUAAGUAUGAUGAACAUGUUCGCUAACAUCUAUCACAUGUAGAGACAGUAGUAAUGCAUUCUGAUGUUCAAAUAAGAUAAGCUACUUGCAUUGCGAGACAUGUAUGAAGGGGAUCAUCUCGACACCUUUUCCCUCCAGACCUCUAUACUUUUUGGAAAUUCGUGCAAUAUUUUUAGAUCACAAUUUACCUUUAAAAUCUACCUAUGACGAUGGGCUGCAUGAGGAUAACCUGAUUAACGAUGAGCUCACCCGUGGUGUUGACAACCUCCUUAUAAUUUCUGAAACGAUGUACAAAGAUUAAAUAAGGUUUAGUUACUUGCUUACAGAUCUAUCAUUGAUCGAAUAAAAUGUGAAGAAAAAACUGUUGUUUAUUGUCUCUGCACAAUAUAACGUAUACAAAAUACUUAUGUGACACCUAUUGUCCUCACUUCCAUGUUUUUCCACUCCAGUGUCGUUGUCUAGACUAUGACCUCUGCCUUCUGAUGUUUCGUUUUUCUCUGCUGCUAGGUAUUUUUCUUGUAUUCCUGGUUUUUUGUUUAUACAGCUACCUUUUCCAUUGGUUGCUCAUUGGAUUUGAUGCAUCUAACCUGUCCAUAUCAUUACUGGAUACAUUAGUCUCUCCAUUGAUGUUGUUGGGUGUGUUUAUGUUUCUGUUCUUCACUGUCCUGGUUAGGAACAAGGUGUUUGCUAGCGCCAAUGCUGCUUUCUGAUGACGACAAAGUUGUUUCCAAUUGGUUUCUUAGGGUCGCCUUGAUGAGCGUGCUGAGGAAUUACAACCGGAACUCCCUCAGCGAUGGUACAACUUUCAUACAUGCCGAACGCACCACUUCCUGAUGUAGCCUUUGACUGAUCUACCUUUAGUUAUCUCAAUUCAACCGCGAGUCAGAGAAGUAUGAAGAGAAGAUGACUAGAAUUGCAUGUUGCUGCUUGAAUGAUAUUAUCAAGGGCUGGAACCAGGGGAAUUCUUGAUAAUAACCUUGUUUUGUUUUGUGAUAAAUGAUAGGGGAGGCCGCUAAUGAGGGCAAACUUAGCUAUUGAGGACCAUGCUGUGAAGAUAUACACAAUGGCUAUACUCAAGCAAUUCGGACAAUCCUGUAUGAGUGCAUCUGUUGUAUGAAAGUUGUGCUUCUGAUGCCAUCUGUAUCUGAAAGUUGCACUUCUGCCGACACAUUUAGUGGAACAUCAGUGGUAUGAUAUAGUGUUGUUCGAACUGGGUGUUUAGUCUUUAGUUGAUGCUGUGGAAUACAAUUGGUAGUAAGCUCUUCAUUGUACUAGUGAAAGCGUAGAUGUGCAAUGCAAAUGAUGUGUAGUUGAGCAUUUUGGAUUGAGUUUUCAUAGAUUUCCAUUCUGCUGCCAGCCUUGGGUAUCUGUUUUCAAAUGAUCUGCCUUACUACUUGUGGUGGUGUGAGUAAAUGUUCAUACAAAAAAAUAUUAGGCUCGUGACUGUUGCUACAAGUUUCAGAA